ensembl:lncRNA
CUUUUCCUAUCAGCUGACACUCAAGGCAACUGCAUUUUUGUCCAUCAAAGCAAAACGGAAAGGCUUUGCUGUCUGCAAUUGCUCACAGACCUCAGCUGGGAAGAGAUCCUGGCACUCAGCGUUUCAUCAGGAGAAAUGCUUUCUUUGGCUCCUGGAAGAACUGCACAACACAGACAUGCAGAGACAUUCCCAGGUAUCUGAUGUAUAACUUGUUUCAUAAGGACGUCUUAUCUCAAGCAGAGAGGCCCUGACACAGGAGCUGAAGGGCAGGCGUGGAACAGUCAGACAUCCAGCACUCACAGCAACAAGAACUCUAUAGGCUGCCUUGUGCAGACACAAAACCAGUAGACCACUAGGUUUUGCAGCAAAUCAACCGAACCUUGUGUCAGUGAGAUCAAAAUAGAACCAACAGGAACUUUAAUCUGUCUCUGCUACAGAGAGAUGAAAUCAGUGCAGGCUCCAUAAAAUAAGAGUAAUGGAAACUGUUCAAGGUUAUGAGUAUCUGCAACAACAAAGUGUCUCCCAUUAAGUGAUGCACUGAAGCUGUGCAGAUGAAGUUAUAUGCUCUGGUACCACAACGAGGUACAA